rnacentral:rRNA from 1 species
GACGAACGCUGGCGGCGUGCUUAACACAUGCAAGUCGAACGGAAAGGCCCUGCUUUUGUGGGGUGCUCGAGUGGCGAACGGGUGAGUAUCACGUGAGUAACCUGCCCUUGACUUUGUGAUAACUUCAGGAAACUGGGGCUAAUACCGGAUAUGAGCUCCUGCUGCAUGUUGGGGGUUGGAAAGUUUCGGCGGUUGGGGAUGGACUCGCGGCUUAUCAGCUUUUUGGUGGGGUAGUGGCUUACCAAGGCUUUGACGGGUAGCCGGCCUGAGAGGGUUACCGGCCACAUUGGGACUGAGAGACGGCCCAGAAUCCUAAGGGAGGCAGCAGGGGGGAAUAUUGCACAAUGGGCGGAAGCCUGAUGCAGCAACGCCGCGUGCGGGAUGACGGCCUUCGGGUUGUAAACCGAUUUCGACUGUGACGAAGAGUGAGUGACGGUAAUGGGUAAAGAAGCACCGGCUAACUACGUG